rnacentral:rRNA from 1 species
UACAGAGGUCUCAAACGUUGUUCGGAUUCAUUGGGCGUAAAGGGUGCGUAGGCGGCGCGGUAAGUCGGGUGUGAAAUCUUGGAGCUUAACUCCGAAACUGCAUUCGAUACUGCGGGUCUCGAGUCCGGGAGAGGUGAGUGGAAUUCCUAGUGUAGAGGUGAAAUUCGUAGAUAUUAGGAAGAACACCAGUGGCGAAGGCGGCUCACUGGCCCGGUACUGACGCUGAGGCGCGAAAGCGUGGGGAGCAAACAGG